rnacentral:lncRNA from 1 species
GAGGUUUCACAGUUUGUCAUUUUAGUAUUCUUUAGUUUAAAGUGUAUCAAUUUAGUGCAAUGUGGUUUCAUUUUUAUUUUUUUAUUAUCGAUUUAACUAAAUUUUUUUGUUAAAUCAAUGACAAAGUAAAAACUAAAGGGUAUUAAAGUGAAUAUUCGAUAAACCUAAGUGGAGUAUCUGAAGUUUUUUUGUAUAUAAUUUAACAAAAUAUUAAUAAAAAAACUGACAAAAAGAUAAAAAUGGAACCACAAGACAAUAACUCGAUACACUUUAAACCACAUAGCAUUAAAAUGAGAAAGUGUGAAACCACAUGGGUAGUAUCUGAAGUUUACCCUAAUAAAAAACAGUUUUUGUAAAGAAC